rnacentral:lncRNA from 1 species
CUCUAGGAUGGUGAACCAUAAGGUUAUAGGUGCAUGAGUGUGACGUGAACCGAUGACGUAAUGAAAGUUGAUAGAUUGGGUCGAAGUGGAUGUUGAUGCUCUAGUAGUUUCUAGAGGUGAAUUGAGUGAUACUAGUCCUUGGCUUAAGGCGGUUGUAUUGGCGGCCGACAACACAAUGCCGAGAGUCGAGAACGGGUACACUUAUGAGCUUCCGUCUGAUUAACGUAGUGGAAUUAUAUCGUUUCGUAAUUGCGAAGACGUUGUUGGGUUAAGUGAUUAACCGAUUGUUUGCAUUUCAGGAGCUUAUGGCACUGAAGAGAC